GCUAAACCAGAGCUGAUUCUCUAGGAAAACACAAUGGAAACACUUCUAAAAGUGUGUAGCCUGUAGCAAAGGUACUGGGCUUGGUACAAUCUUCUGCAGCAAGCGAGUGGGAAUUUGGCUGUACAAUAUGCCCAUCGAGUGAUGGAGACUCAGAAGUCCAUCAUCCAAACAUGCUCUGCUUGACCAACCAAGCCCAUUCAGCAUCCAAAAUCCACAAAAGAAAAAGCUGAAUGCCAACAAGCAAAUUUAAUCCUUGCAUUUCAUUUCAGAAAACAGUUAUUCGUUAGGGUGGACAGUGAGUGAAGGGACAAGAGUUGGAGGGCGUCUAUCCAGAUCAUCUCUCUUCACAGGAGGGGUCAUUUGGCUCAUUGUCCAGUAAAGGGCAACCUACUCCAGGCUGAAAAGAACAUCUUUCCUCUUCCCUCCAGGAAGUAGAGGUCUUUAGCCUAGAUGUCACUUCAUCCAGGAACCUUUUCGUGACACCUUAAGUAAAUAUUAAGAGCUCCUUGGGCUGACCCGUUGGUGCAGCGGUUAAGUUUGCACGUUCCGCUUCUCGGCGGCCCAGGGUUCACCGGUUCGGAUCCCGGGUGCGGACAUGGAACCACUUGGCACGUCAUGCAGCGGGCAAAGAAGAAAAUUACAUUUGGUAGUCUCUCUUGCCAUUAGAUUGGCUUCUAAUCACUUUCAAGUCUGUCCAUAAAUCAUGCUAUGUGAUACUCCAUGGGCUGGCUUUACCUACUGGCCUGCAGAAUACAGAGGAGCCAUUGGCCGACUCUGAGGAGGUCUAUGGAAUGGGGAAGCCACACGACAGAAAAAGCCUGGAUUAUUGCUUGAAAGUCAUUACUUGCAAGACAGCUGCCCAAGAUAGCUGCUUGACCUGCAUUGGCCUGUGACAUGAAUGACAAAUAAACUUUUAUUGUAUUGAA
rnacentral:lncRNA from 1 species